rnacentral:rRNA from 1 species
GACGAACGCUGGCGGCGUGCCUAAUACAUGCAAGUAGGACGCAGUUGCGAACGGGUGAGUAACGCGUCGGUAACUGCCUAUUAGAGGGGGAUAACUAUUGGAACCGAUAGCUAAUACCGCAUACUAGUAUAUGGACCUUCGUUGUAUUAGCUAGUAGGUAGGGUAAUGGCCUACCUAGGCGACGAUACAUAGCCGAACUGAUAGGGUGAUCGGCCACGCUGGGACUGAGAAACGGCCCAGACUCCUACGGGAGGCAGCAGUAGGGAGUCUUCGGGAAGGGGGGGAACCCGGACCAAGCAACGCGGCGUGAGUGAAGAAGGUUUUCGGAUCGUAAAGCUCUGUUGUUAAGGAAGCGGUACUUAACCAGAAAGGGACGGCUAACUACGUGCCAGCAGCCGCGGUAAUUC